GAGCGGAAAGGCCCUUCGGGGUACUCGAGCGGCGAACGGGUGAGUAACACGUGAGUAAUCUGCCCCUAGCUCUGGGAUAGCUCCGGGAAACCGGGAUUAAUACCGGAUAUGACCACUCUAGACAUCUUCUGUGGUGGAAAGAAUUUCGGCUAGGGAUGAGCUCGCGGCCUAUCAGCUUGUUGGUGGGGUAACGGCCUACCAAGGCGACGACGGGUAGCCGGCCUGAGAGGGCGACCGGCCACACUGGGACUGAGACACGGCCCAGACUCCUACGGGAGGCAGCAGUGGGGAAUAUUGCGCAAUGGGCGAAAGCCUGACGCAGCGACGCCGCGUGGGGGAUGAAGGCCUUCGGGUUGUAAACCCCUUUCAGCAGGGACGAAGCGAAAGUGACGGUACCUGCAGAAGAAGCGCCGGCUAACUACGUG
rnacentral:rRNA from 1 species